rnacentral:tRNA from 1 species
GCGGUGCUUUGCGCAGCUCAGGCGUCACGCAGGCGUGAUUUGGUCGGCGGUCUUGAAAACCGUCGUGGCAGCGAUGUCACCGUGGGUUCAAAUCCCACACCCACCGCA